rnacentral:lncRNA from 1 species
GGAGAGCCAAUAAAGAUACGACAGAUCUGGCAGGAGAACAAGAUCCAGCCCAGGUGAUGGGGUGUGAGGCUUGGUCUUGGCUACAGGAGACGCUGGUCUGAAAAGAAGGCAACGCAAGGAAGAGAACAGAGCCAAGGCACCUGCAGCGAGCCAGAGCCAGAGCACUAACAUCACAAAUGCUCUAAUUGGUUCCAUUUAUUGUUUAAUCCACUUGAAAUUGAAUUUCUGUCAUCCCUGACUGGAAGUGUACUGACCUGCAUACUACCUGUGUUUCCUCACAGCAGGCUGAAAAGCUGUGCCAAUAUUGAGCUCAUCCAGAAUUAGACGAAGUUUGUAUUCUUUUUAUUACUUCCUUUAACCCUGAACCAGGGUCCAGAAGCAUUUUGUUAACCAUUAACUCUUCUCUGUGAAUAAAGCAGCGUGAGGAACAACCUCUUUUAUUCGCAGAGCAAAGCUCUUCCCUGCUCAGCCACAGCGGCUUCAACUCUGGCACGCGUCCUGAAGUGCCAUUUCUAGCACAUGACUCACAAAGUAAAUAAUCUGUAAAUGAAAAGCCUCUUAUCAUACUUUGGAACGAAAAACAAGGCGACAAGCCAGGCAGCAUUUUCCCCUCAUGUUUGAACCCCACAUGCACCAAGGGCUGUUUAUGCCUUGCACAUGAGGAGUUUGGUUUGCUC